UGAUCUCCAUAUUUGUUUGGUUGUUUGGUUUUCCACCUCUCCAAUGGCCAGGGCUCUUCCUCAUCCUCGCAUCGCACCCGGCCAAGAUCCGAUCCCUUCGCAUCACUAGAGAUUGGAAUCUCGAUCCAUCAACCAUGAAGGCGUCUCUCAAGUUUCUAGAGGAUCAGAAGCCCUUGACGCAUGCCAAGAUCCCGAUCAGCAUCCUCGCCCUGGAAGGUGAAUAGGACGAAGGCUGAGGAGUCGGCUGACAUGGUGGAAGGGAGUGGUGACGUGGCAUCCAUUGGUUAAAUUUUGCAUCCUUGCAUCUGUAUUAAUUUAAUUAAUUAAAUUUGUACAGAUGUUUGAGUCUCUUUCUCAAGAUUGUGAAGGAGAGAUACUGGAUUUCUCACUCUCAUGACGAUGGAGAACAAGGAAGAGGGAUUCACUAACCUCGAAGCAUGGCAUUGUUUAAAGACCACUCACCAUCUCAUAUGUACAAUAGUCGUGUGCUUUGAUGAAUUCAUGCUGCUCUGGUAGUUCCUCAAUUAAUGAUAAAUCAGUUGAUUUUUGGUUUUGAUUGAGUAUGAAGCCGAAAGACACAUGGUGGAGAGAAGAUGCUUGGACCUACCCAGUUAGGAUGAUUAAUUGACACGUAUGUAGGUCUCAUUUUUGGAUGAAGAUAAGCCACGAUUAUUGACUUUGGAACUAUAUAAUUGAUGUUAUCCUAUUAGCAUUUCCACAUUCAUUGAAUUUUUAUGGACUUUUUAUGUACUCUUAUAUAG